rnacentral:rRNA from 1 species
CCUACGGGAGGCAGCAGUGAGGAAUAUUGGUCAAUGGACGCAAGCCUGAACCAGCCAUGUCGCGUGCAGGAUGACGGCCCUAUGAGUUGUAAACCGCUUUUGUACGAGGGUAAACGCCGAUACGUGUAUCGGUUUGAAAGUAUCCUACGAAUAAGGAUCGGCUAACUCCGUGCCAGCAGCCGCGGUAAUACGGAGGAUCCGAGCGUUAUCCGGAUUUAUUGGGUUUAAAGGGUGCGUAGGCGGUUUGAUAAGUUAGAGGUGAAAUGUCGGGGCUCAACCCCGUAACUGCCUCUAAUACUGUUGGACUAGAGAAUGGUUGAGGUAGGCGGAAUGUGUGGUGUAGCGGUGAAAUGCUUAGAGAUCAUACAGAACAUCGAUUGCGAAGGCAGCUUACCAAACUAUAUCUGACGUUGAGGCACGAAAGCGUGGGUAGCAAACAGGAUUAGAUACCCGGGUAGUC